GCAACUGCCGGGCGGGGACGCCCCGUUGGGCUAAGAGCCCAGCAGGGCCUCCAGUUCGGCUGCGAAGAGUCGCUC
rnacentral:tRNA from 1 species